UAAAAAACUACUCAUCCAAUGUCCAGGAAACAAGAGAGAGAGGAGGGAGUUUGACAAAGUCACAUGAUCCCCUUCAGAAGAAGAUACAAUGGCCUAGAGAUCUCCCACAAGUCUCUUCCUCCUAAAUGUUCCACUACCUCCUGGUAGCAUCACUGUGAAGAAGAAAAAGGCUCUCUAGGAUGAAGUAAAUAGUCAACACAGUCUAGCCAAUUAGAAGACAAGUUGAUUUGCACCCACUGCUGUUGAACUGGGGUGAUUUAUUCAUCAACUUGACGCCAUCUAUUAAUAAGUCUGGUCUGAGAUUGCAUACCAAGUGAAUCUUUGACAAGUGUAUUGUCUCUUAAAUGGCAAGGAGAAGAAAAACAUGGGAGGCCAGAAAACACGCCAUCUUUCCCCUCAGCACCAAGACUCCUUCCUUCCCAUUCAGCUGCUUCUGCACAGCAACAGACUGAAGAAGAUCAUGUUGCAAAAUUUGGCACCCAUGGAGUUUAUAUUUUUCAGAAUAUUUAA